UGGGAAUUAGAUCUGCAAAGAAGAAGUUAUUUAUAAUGGGUAUUUAGAAUUCUCACACUUCUGUUGGGAUAUUACGGGGUCAUUAGUCGCAUCAAUAUUAUUGAAAUACAAAUGGGGUUGGUCGGUGAUUGUUCCUGGUAUCCUUAUUGCUUUUAGUGGCAUGAUAGUGUUCCUUUUGUUACCCGUUUAUCCGAAAUCCAUUGAAUGCAAUAAAGAUGAAGUGCUAUCUCUAGGAAAAGAAGACGAGGAAGUGAAUGAACCUCUCUCGAGAUCAAACAGAGAAAGAAAUCGGCCGUGGAUUUUAGUGAAGCACGGAGGAUUCCCGAAGUUGUGCCAUCUGGUCUUUGACCUUUUUUUUUUUGGUGGCUUACACAUUUCUCUAAUGUGGUUGUCGUACAACACUAACUGUUCCAUGCUGCAGGAAAGGUCAAAAGUAUGUUGCACUUGGCUGAACUGGUUGAGAAACAUAAUGAUCAAAUUGCAACGUUCGAGACUUGGGACACUGAGAAGCCAUAUGAACAGGCUGUUAAGAUUGGAGUACGCUGGUUGUACAUCCCCGUUAUUAUGCUGGUAAGUAAUAAGUUCAACUAGAAAGAAAGUCUAUCAUCAAUUAUUUCUUCUCCCUGAAAAAAAAUUAUUUCUACAGGCUAGGUAGAUAAAAUUCUUGAUAUGACUAUUCCUGCUGAAGGACCAUAUUGUAUUCAAACGUUGCAUGAACUGAUUGAAUUUGUUGGUUAGAUUAUCUCAUGAAAUUUUCCUCUCCUCGUGUUCUCUUGGAAGAUGAGCCCUACUUUCACUUGUGGCAGAAAUAUCGUGUUAAAAAUGCUGAGCAGACCCCUUUAACUACACUCUAUGUAGAAAAUCUGUUGCAGGAGAUAGCAUCAAAAUUUUCUCUUUUAUUGCCCAAAAGAGUCGUUUUGCACAGUAAGUCAAGUUUCAGUUUUUCUGGUAUCGUAUCUGAGUGAAAGAAUAUGUUUUUUUCUUUUCAAUUUUAGAAAAAAUAUUUCACAACAGUUGAAGUUUUUCAUUGCUUCUUAUCAAACAACAACAUAUUCAGUGUAAUUUGAUGAGUGGUGAUUGGGGA
rnacentral:misc_RNA from 1 species